GUGCCAGCAGCCGGCGGUAAUACGUAGGGUGCAAGCGUUAAUCGGAAUUACUGGGCGUAAAGCGUGCGCAGGCGGUUGUGCAAGACAGGUGUGAAAUCCCCGGGCUUAACCUGGGAACUGCAUUUGUGACUGCACGGCUAGAGUGUGUCAGAGGGGGGUAGAAUUCCACGUGUAGCAGUGAAAUGCGUAGAGAUGUGGAGGAACACCGAUGGCGAAGGCAGCCCCCUGGGAUAACACUGACGCUCAUGCACGAAAGCGUGGGGAGCAAACAGGAUUAGAUACCCUGGUAGUCC
rnacentral:rRNA from 1 species